rnacentral:lncRNA from 1 species
CUUUAAUCUAAAUUCAACAAAUAAAGAUAGUCGGUUGGAUAAAUUCAUUACACAGUGUGCUAGUGACCUAAUAUGAAGUAUAACAGGGUAAGUAAAUUACAUAUGGGGUUCGAGCUUAUUUACUAAUAGUAUUACUGAAAAAUUAUAACACCAGGGUUUUCGAUAUCACAAACUAGUCAAAACAUUUACUAAAUGUUAUCAUCGGUAUGAGGACAUCAUCAUUCGCAAGUAUAGCUCACCAUGCAGACUUCUUAUACGUUCAGGUAGUUCAUAUCCAAUAUUUUAUAGACAUAU